AUUGGUGAUGAGAGACUCUAAAGAAGUCACAGCUUGCUUCCUUUCUGAAGAACGUUGUGAUUUUGGCUCAUGUGCCGUUCACGACAACUCUUCUCCAACAGCAUGCCAUAGUCCACUGUCUCAGGUUCCCAUUUUUCCACCAGCUGCAGAGCAGGAAGGGACAAAUCAAAGUGUGAGCAUUCGGAUCACCAACGCUGUGACCUCGCUGUGUGAAUGGGAGCUACUACAGGAAGGAAGCUUACAAAUGAGCUGCAUGGAUCCCACAUUUUGCUAAAAUCAAAUAGGACCUUUCUCCUCUUUGUUGAAUGCCGUAAUACACAAGAAAUUAGCCAGCAGGAUGCUCAUGUCCAAGGUCUCCCUUUAUCUACCACCCGAGUUGGCAUGAAACAACUUCUGGGGUUCAAAUCUUCUGAACAAUGAUACAAGUCUUAGCAAAUUUCAAGAAUAAUUUAAAGAGGAAAUAAAUAGCUUUUUGUUUAACUUGGAUCAAUUAUCUCCUUUUGCUCCCAGCUUCAUGCCAGGUACUCUCCACUGUGCCUGGGAAAUAUGAAUCCCUGCCCUCAUGAACAAACAUUGGCCAUGAGGAUUUUCCCUACAACCCAAGAACUAUUUGAAGUUUGAAGUCUUUCAGCCCAGACAACACUGGCUAUUUUCACCUUUGCCUUCAACUAUAAAGGCUGGGCUCUCUCUGCAGGAGUGGGUUACUGCUGGCAGAACAGAGAAAGAGAGAGAGCAGGAGAGAGAGAGACAGAAUCCACUAGUAGAAUAAGCCAUGAUCACCGCUCAAAACUUUUGCUACUACUUGAUCAGUACCUGGAAUUCUGAGGAAAACCCUAUUAGAGAUUGCAAAUCCAGUAAAUAAAGGCAGCAGUGGUACCUUGUUAAAAACAUCAAAUCCAAAGUGCUCUGAGGAGGAAUAUGUACGGUGUGUUCUAGGGACAGAAAAUAAGACAAACGUGGCUGGAGUAUUGGAAGGGGAAGUGAGCGUUACUAGAGAAGGUCAUGAGAGCCUGUUAACUAGCAUGUCACUGCCUAUCACACAAUAAGGCUGAUGAAAUUACUAUUGAAAUAAUCCAUGUAAAAUGCUCAGUGGAGUGCAUGACACAAGUCAAUUCACUUCAGAAAGUUAUCUACCCCCGUGUCCCCAGCAGCACAUUUCAUCCACACCACGAAGCGAACAGAAAGAGACCUAAAGCUUGGUCUGUAUGCUUCUGCCACUCACGUCCGAGAUUGGAAAUGUCCUCUGAAUUCUUCAUAUCUCAGCAAUCCAGACAGUCAUUACCAAUUUGUCAUAGCUUGUAAGCUACAUAAAGGAAAAUAAUAAUAACCACAACUCAAAGGCUUCUCUUUUAUCAGCCAUAGAAAAAUGUUACAACUUUACAAAGUGACUGUGAAUUUAAGUUAAACCCUCUGACAACAAAUUGGAGACUAGAAGCUCGGGAGCUUUCUUCAUUCUUUUAUUAAGAACAAAAUGACCAGCAGGAGAACAAUGUGAAAUUCACUGAGACCUGAAUGAAAUGCAAGAAAAUAUUAUUAUGAAAUGGUCUACCUAAUUAAUAAUGUUGGAAAAUUGAACUUCAGUGUCUGGUUGACAGCUGACUUAAUAUAACCUAAAUAGGAAGACAAUAAAACUCAUCUAGGGAAACUCAUUUUAAAGUUUAUUAAUGCUGUUUUCCUCAGUCUGUACGCCUGCUGGCAAAUCAUUUUAUUUUCAGUGAUAGAGUCCUACAGAACCCCGUUAUAGGCUGUAUAAGCUACAUUAUGGUCCUUCUGUGUUAGAGUGGGAGUGACAGACAGUCCAUCCCCAUCUGGAAAUAUCAUUUAAUGCAUGCUAUGACUGAUUAGAUGGAACAACCUCUUUCUACAUAAUGAAGUUUACUACAGAGAAAUUUACAGGAAAAAUAUUCAGUAAACACUAAAAUACCAAGUAUUUGCAUCUCUAUCAAUGAUCAUCUGGUCUCUCUCCCUAAAAUCCUAUAACUGUACAUUUUAACAUAGCUGUAGACACAGUGUGUGCACGCGGUUUUGUGUUUUUACUUUCCUCACCUAACAUAUCACAUGUAUAUUUCCAUAAUGGAAUACACAAUACAGUUUUAAAGCCCACAGACGGUUUAACAUAUUGAUGUAUUUAGUGAAUAUUUUAACACCACUUUUCUGUGCUGAAGCUAAUAUCCUAACAUCUGCCAAUUGGAAGUAAUUUUUAACUGAAUUAAACAUGUAUGUACUUGUUUCCCAGGACACACAAGCCUGAAAGAUGAAAGAUACGGUGUUUAUACUUCUCCCUAGGAAGAGCCAUAGGCCUUGGGCCCCAUCAAGGACUCUUCAGUGUUUGAAUUUUAAGAUUUGCCUCCAAUAUGAAAUGAGAGGACUUUGCCUUCACUACUCAGCUUGAAGAAAGAGGAAAUUUAUUUGGGGUGGAGAAUGUGAAGCCUUCCCAGUGACUGCCUCUUCCACAAAUUGUCUUUCUGUUCCAAGGCAAUGACCUCAGUGUUGUCAACUAGGAGGCACCUGAGCUAGUGAGAAGCCAAGAAAGAGAGAGAUUUGCCUCAUCCCCACUGGUUAAAUAUUUUGUUCAUAAAAAAUUUUGAAAAUAUAUUUAUUAAGGAUAACUAUGUGCAAUAGUUUCUAAAAUGUCAUUUGGGAUGUUGCAUGAGUGAUCAAUGUUAGGGUGGCAUGAAAAUCCUGAACUGUAUCUAGCAGGCUUUAGCAGCUGAAGGCAUUUUGUUUAAUACUGUAAAUACAGUACCAGAGUUUAACUGCAUUGACAAUUAUUUUACUGCUGACCCAUGGACCACAGAGUGGUUAAAAGCAAGGGUGUUUGAGGCAGGUGGCCUGAGGGUUCAUGUCCCUGCUGCAUCAUUUACAAUCUCCAUGACCAUGGGCAAGUUACUUAACUUCUGUAAGUCUUAGUUUUCUCCCCAUAAGUUAAAAUAAAGCUGUACCUUCCUUAUGAGUUUGGUAAGACAAAUACCUUAGACAGUGCAUAUAAAGUAAUUAACACUAUGCCUUGAAUGCAGUAAUUGCUCCAAAAAUAUUAAUUAUUGCCACUACCAUUCUACUAUCAUUACAAUUGUUAUUUUUUCAUAUAUUUGCUCAAAAAUACAGUGGAAAUGUAAGCAUGUAAACGUUAUUGUGUUCAGUAUAAUAUACAAACAUUAGCAUAAGUAUUUCCUUUCUCAUGAGCUUUGUGCAGAGAUCACCUGCUAAUGAAUGUGGAAAAAUAGAAAUAAAUUUAGAACAUUUCUGUAGAAUCGAAGUUAUUUUCAGGUUCUCUAACACUUGAAAACAAUAAAAGCAUUAAAAAAAUUUUAUCUCAGAGAACUCCCUUAAAUCAAAUGCUUUGAAAUAUUUUAAAGAAAUGCUAAUUUGGAGAUCUU